rnacentral:rRNA from 1 species
AGGACGAACGCUGGCGGCGUGCUUAACACAUGCAAGUCGAGCGCGUGUAGCAAUACACGAGCGGCAGACGGGAGAGUAACACGUGGGAACGCGCCCUUCGGUUCGGAAUAACUCAGGGAAACUUGAGCUAAUACCGGAUACGCCCUUACGGGGGAAAGAUUUAUUGCCGAAGGAACGGCCCGCGUCCGAUUAGCUAGUUGGUGAGGUAACGGCUCACCAAGGCGACGAUCGGUAGCUGGUCUGAGAGGAUGACCAGCCUCACUGGGACUGAGACACGGCCCAGACUCCUACGGGAGGCAGCAGUGGGGAAUAUUGGACAAUGGGCGCAAGCCUGAUCCAGCCAUGCCGCGUGGAUGAUGAAGGCCUUAGGGUUGUAAAGUCUUUAACGGGGAAGAUAAUGACGGUACCGUAGAAUAAGCCCGGCUAACUUCGUGCCAGCAGCCGC